AAUCCGAUAAGGGGCUUUUAAGGUUU
rnacentral:tRNA from 5 species